rnacentral:rRNA from 1 species
UUACACAUGCAAGUCGAACGGCAGCACGGGGGCAACCCUGGUGGCGAGUGGCGAACGGGUGAGUAAUAUAUCGGAACGUACCCAGUAGUGGGGGAUAGCUCGGCGAAAGCCGGAUUAAUACCGCAUACGCACUGAGGUGGAAAGCGGGGGAUCGCAAGACCUCGCGCUAGUGGAGCGGCCGAUAUCUGAUUAGCUAGUUGGUGGGGUAAAAGCCUACCAAGGCGACGAUCAGUAGCUGGUCUGAGAGGACGACCAGCCACACUGGAACUGAGACACGGUCCAGACUCCUACGGGAGGCAGCAGUGGGGAAUUUUGGACAAUGGGGGCAACCCUGAUCCAGCAAUGCCGCGUGAGUGAAGAAGGCCUUCGGGUUGUAAAGCUCUUUUGUCUGGGAAGAAAUCCCCUGGGAUAAUACCUCGGGGGGAUGACGGUACCGGAAGAAUAAGCACCGGCUAACUACGUGCCAGCAGCCGCGGUAAUACGUAGGGUGCAAGCGUUAAUCGGAAUUACUGGGCGUAAAGCGUGCGCAGGCGGUUGUGCAAGACAGAUGUGAAAUCCCCGGGCUUAACCUGGGAACUGCAUUUGUGACUGCACGGCUAGAGUGUGUCAGAGGGGGGUAGAAUUCCACGUGUAGCAGUGAAAUGCGUAGAGAUGUGGAGGAAUACCGAUGGCGAAGGCAGCCCCCUGGGAUAACACUGACGCUCAUGCACGAAAGCGUGGGGAGCAAACAGGAUUAGAUACCCUGGUAGUCCACGCCCUAAACGAUGUCUACUAGUUGUCGGGUCUUAAUUGACUUGGUAACGCAGCUAACGCGUGAAGUAGACCGCCUGGGGAGUACGGUCGCAAGAUUAAAACUCAAAGGAAUUGACGGGGACCCGCACAAGCGGUGGAUGAUGUGGAUUAAUUCGAUGCAACGCGAAAAACCUUACCUACCCUUGACAUGGUCGGAAUC